GUGUAAGCCUGUGAAGGUGUGUUGUAAAGCAUGCUGGAGGUAUCACAAGAGCGAAUGCUGACGUGAGUAACGACAAAACGGGUGAAAAGCCCGUUCGCCGGAAGACCAAGGGUUCCAGUCCAACGUUAAUCGGGGCUGGGUGAGUCGACCCCUAAGGCGAGGCCGAAAGGCGUAGUCGAUGGGAAAUCGGUUAAUAUUCCGAUACUUGUUUAUGAUGCGAUGGAGGGACGGAGAAGGUUAGGUGUACCAGGCGUUGGUUGUCCUGGGGAAAGGCGGUAGGUUUGGAUCUUUGGCAAAUCCGGGAUCCUUUAAGACCGAGCACCGAGACGAGCCUUUAUGGCGAAGUCACUGAUACCACGCUUCCAGGAAAAGCUCCUAAGCUUCAGCUUACGCAGACC
rnacentral:rRNA from 1 species